rnacentral:rRNA from 1 species
CGCGUAGGCGGCUUGGUAAGGUUGCGGUGAAAGCCCGGGGCUCAACCCCGGGUCGGCCGUGGCAACCGCUGAGCUGGAGCACUGUAGAGGCAGGUGGAAUUCCGGGUGUAGCGGUGGAAUGCGUAGAGAUCCGGAAGAACACCGGUGGCGAAGGCGGCCUGCUGGGCAGUGGCUGACGCUGAUGCGCGACAGCGUGGGAGCAAACA